rnacentral:rRNA from 1 species
GAUGAACGCUGGCGGCGUGCCUAAUACAUGCAAGUCGAGCGAACGGACGAGAAGCUUGCUUCUCUGAUGUUAGCGGCGGACGGGUGAGUAACACGUGGAUAACCUACCUAUAAGACUGGGAUAACUUCGGGAAACCGGAGCUAAUACCGGAUAAUAUUUUGAACCGCAUGGUUCAAAAGUGAAAGACGGUCUUGCUGUCACUUAUAGAUGGAUCCGCGCUGCAUUAGCUAGUUGGUAAGGUAACGGCUUACCAAGGCAACGAUGCAUAGCCGACCUGAGAGGGUGAUCGGCCACACUGGAACUGAGACACGGUCCAGACUCCUACGGGAGGCAGCAGUAGGGAAUCUUCCGCAAUGGGCGAAAGCCUGACGGAGCAACGCCGCGUGAGUGAUGAAGGUCUUCGGAUCGUAAAACUCUGUUAUUAGGGAAGAACAUAUGUGUAAGUAACUGUGCACAUCUUGACGGUACCUAAUCAGAAAGCCACGGCUAACUACGUGCCAGCAGCCGCGGUAAUACGUAGGUGGCAAGCGUUAUCCGGAAUUAUUGGGCGUAAAGCGCGCGUAGGCGGUUUUUUAAGUCUGAUGUGAAAGCCCACGGCUCAACCGUGGAGGGUCAUUGGAAACUGGAAAACUUGAGUGCAGAAGAGGAAAGUGGAAUUCCAUGUGUAGCGGUGAAAUGCGCAGAGAUAUGGAGGAACACCAGUGGCGAAGGCGACUUUCUGGUCUGUAACUGACGCUGAUGUGCGAAAGCGUGGGGAUCAAACAGGAUUAGAUACCCUGGUAGUCCACGCCGUAAACGAUGAGUGCUAAGUGUUAGGGGGUUUCCGCCCCUUAGUGCUGCAGCUAACGCAUUAAGCACUCCGCCUGGGGAGUACGACCGCAAGGUUGAAACUCAAAGGAAUUGACGGGGACCCGCACAAGCGGUGGAGCAUGUGGUUUAAUUCGAAGCAACGCGAAGAACCUUACCAAAUCUUGACAUCCUUUGACAACUCUAGAGAUAGAGCCUUCCCCUUCGGGGGACAAAGUGACAGGUGGUGCAUGGUUGUCGUCAGCUCGUGUCGUGAGAUGUUGGGUUAAGUCCCGCAACGAGCGCAACCCUUAAGCUUAGUUGCCAUCAUUAAGUUGGGCACUCUAAGUUGACUGCCGGUGACAAACCGGAGGAAGGUGGGGAUGACGUCAAAUCAACAUGCCCCUUAUGAUUUGGGCUACACACGUGCUACAAUGGACAAUACAAAGGGCAGCGAAACCGCGAGGUCAAGCAAAUCCCAUAAAGUUGUUCUCAGUUCGGAUUGUAGUCUGCAACUCGACUACAUGAAGCUGGAAUCGCUAGUAAUCGUAGAUCAGCAUGCUACGGUGAAUACGUUCCCGGGUCU